rnacentral:lncRNA from 1 species
AGUAAAUUCUCCUGAACGAAAAAAAUGUUAGUUAUGAAUGCUAUAGUUUAAUAUUGAAUAGAAUUUUUGGAGAAUGUCAGGAAAUUUCUAUGAACUCCAUCACCAAAGACCAUGCUUCUUUAAAGAAAGGAAUUAGAUCAAGGAAGAAGGAAAAAAAGCAUAAGAAAAAGAAUGUGAAAACGGUGAAAACAGUCUUGUCCUUCUGGACUUUUGCUAGAAAUUGUGAUCAAAUAAUAAGUUUGUAGAAAGAGGAUGUAAUAAUAUAUGCUAGUACAUGUAUAGAAAAAAUAUUUUGCUUGGGAAAUGGUGAUAUGCAGUGAAUAUUGAGAGUGGUUCUCUUUUUGGAGGAAGGAUUAGGAGGUUUUCAUCUUCUAUAUUAAGUAUUUCUAUAAGAACAGAACCUUGAAAGUUCAUAAUUGCUUCUAUAAACACACAAAAUUUAAUUUAGGCAUACAGACCUGAACUAUACCACACAUCAUGUCAGUUCUGCAAGGUGUUGAAAGAAUUCUGAAACUCUCUUUCAUCCCAUAGCCAAGGAAACGAUAAGGCAAAGUUUUAAGGUAUAAAUGUGUCCAUGGGAGAGAAUUUAAAAAGUAGUCACAUAUGGAAGCUUCUGGAAAAACGAAACAAAAAAACAUUUUUUAGGAUCUCAUUUGUGAUACAGGCAUAUCGUCAUCCCUUUUAUUCAAAUCUUUUCUGGCUAUUCAGACUUCCUCAUAACUAUUUUUACAGUGAACACUGGUUUCACUACAGUUUUGGAGUGUGGGUGGAAACGGAGACAGAAAGGAGGAGCAUUAAUAGUGAGAAAAAUUAUUCCCCAAAGCAGGGUAUCGUCUGUAGAAGAAUUUCAGGAGCGUCUCUCUAAGGCACUCCUAUUCUUAAUUUUGGUUGAAACCGUGCACACCUUUUGUUGUACUGGGUCUAGUAAUACACACCUUCUUCCUUUCCAACCAGCCAUAUGAACUUAUCUACAUUACAAGCUUCUGCCAGAGGCCAGGAAAAAGAUGUGUACGGUAAUUCCAAACACAGUCAGGAAAGGAAGUGGCUCAGUGGUUUUCUUAAAAGUCAGUGACACCUAUCAAAUGGCAUUAGAAAUAUUUAGUAAGGACUAUUCACAAUUGCUUCAAAUUGACAGGAUAGUGCCUGCCUCAAAUGAGAUUGCACAUUACUGGAUGAUUUUUUAAACAUUCAUCUGCAGUCAUGCGGUCAGCAAGAUAGUUUCAACUGCCCAGAAAAAAACAGAUGUUAAGUGGUGAUUGUGCUUUGAAAUAGAAAUGAAGUCAAGGAUCUCCUAUUGCUUUUGAGCAAGUCAAGCUGUCUAAAAAGCAAAACAAUUUAAAUGAAAAACAUUCUUUUUAUGCUGUGGGUUUUUUCCUCAUAACUUACACUGUUUUCUGUGCAUGCAGUGCUAUCUAUCUUAUGUAAUUAGGAGAAAAUCUUAAAAGCAAACAUUGUACACAGAAUUGCUAAUAAGAUCACUUGUAUGAUGUUGGGCUCCAACCAUUUUGUUAUAUUAUAUUGGAAGUAAACUAUUGAUUAUAAAAAUAACUAUAGUCAGGCACAAUGGUGUAAACCUGUAGGCCCAGCUUCUUGGGAGGCCAAAGCAGGAAGAUCCCUUGAGCCCAGGAGUUCAAGCCCAGUUUAGGCAACAUAGCAAGACUCUGUUCCCCCGAAAAAAAAAAACCUGUUUUUAGUUUUAAUGUUGCUUCUGAUCAAUGUUGAUUAUAAAAAGAAAACUGUGUACUGUUAGGCAAGCAUAAAGUUAUCACCUGUUCAAUUUAUUCAUUAAACAACCAUAGAUGUGCCAUUAUACAUGAAACAUUUCUGGCUCCAUAUUUUAAAAACAGUCUUUUUAAAAUUUAUAAAAAGACAGUGAGAACACAUGGACACAAGGAGGGGAACAACACACACUGGGGCCUGUCGUGGGAUUGGGGGGCGAGCCAAGGGAGAGCAUCAGGACAAAUAGCUAAUGCAUGCAGGGCUUAAAACCUAGAUGAUGGGUUGAUAGGUGUAGCAAACAUGUAAACCUAUGUAACAAACCUACAUGUUCUGCACAUGUAUCCUGGAACUUAAAGUAAAAAAAAAUAUUAAUUAAAAGAAAAUGUUGGAUUUUUGAAAUAGUACUGCCCUUUUAAAUUUCAUCAAUAAUGCCUAUGUGCUAAAUUGAGACAUGCUCAGUCGCACUAGGAAGCAUUUUGCUGUGAAAGCAUUUAUUUUUUUCCCAUUGUGCUGCAUUCUUUUAAUAACUCUUAGGGUAUAAGACUCCAAAAAGCAGGUUGCUCUUGUAACCUGUCCCCUUCAGUAUUUCAAUCUAACAGCUUCAAGUGUCUUCAUUCACUCUCUCUAUGUAUAGAAAUCACCAUCAGGCUUUCCUAAAUGAGAGCAGAAGUUUCACUCAGCAUUCUUUUCCUAGAUGGGGGUUAUGAUGACAUUUCCUUAUUGUUUAAGGGCAGCCCAAACUCAUGAUUAAUUUGAAAACUAAUUACCAAGAAUGUAGGACUAAUGUCUUGCUCUAGCACUGACUAUCCAAGAGAGUUUGGCCAAUUCCUGUAUAUAUGUGCAUGUAUGUUUGUAUGUAUGUAUGCAUACAUCUUAUAUGUGUGUAUUUGUAUCCUUACAAGAGAAAUAUAGGUUUACCAAACAUACUGAUUUUAAAGGACUAGUUAAUUUUUAAGUAUUAAUUAAUAUAUUCGCCACAAAUAUACACUCUCUGAGAUGUAAUUUAGUCCAAUAUUGUUUGGACUAAAUUAAAUAGCACUGACAGCCAAAAUCUUGCUUACCAAGUCUGAGGCUGUUGCUCAGAUGUUUCAAACAAUAUUGCAUAUUUUAAAAAAUGAAUUAGGACACUUCCUUAGAGAAUGUAUUAAUAAGACUUUCUAAAAUUUGAAAACCCAAAACUUAAAAUAAUCAGCUGAGCUUUUCCAAAUUCCAGGAUGUUUUUUGGCAUUAUGCAGCUAAAAUGCCUACCUAGAUGUUUUUGUAGAGAACCCGUCAUCCUAUUGUUUGAAGUCAGGUAGGUAUGGUCUAUGUCAACUAUGAAAAUAAGCACUGGAGGGGCCAGAACUUUGUCCAAAGCUCAUAAGUGAUCAUUGUGUGCUCAAAGGAAUCAGGCGAUGUGCUUAACGGAAAUCAGAUGCCAUGCCUUAGAGACAUGAAUUAGACUCUCUUCAUCUCCAAAACAUGGGAGUUUAUGUUUGGAGAAAGCACAAACUACUGUUACCCAAAAUAGUAGUGUUUUCUUGAAUUAGAUUCCAUUAAAAGGCAAAUAUAUGAUGACAUGUAUUACCUUUUUCUAGCACAGCCUUCCCCUCUUUCUGUCUCUCCAUCAUCAGAUUUCACUAUUUUUGCUUCGUUCAGUCUUCCAGAUUUGGACAACUAAACAUGGUCUGUUUCUUCAAGGCCCAACUCUAGACCCUUUCAAAGAACGUUAAGUGGAUUAUCUUAUCCAUAUUAUUAUAUUACCUCUUCAGUUAAGGUGGCUGUAGUUUUACUGAUGAUCCUUUCUAUGUCAGCUUCCAGGGAGGUUAAGUUGUAGAACUCAAAAAAUACAAAAUUUAUAGUCAAAAUAUUUGGGUAGAUUUCUGAUUUUUCUACCUCACCCUAGGAUUCAACCUUUUAUUUAGUGUUCUCAUCUAUAAAGCAGAAACACUUAUAAUUCCCACAAAAAUAGUGGAUGCAUUUUUGAGUUAUCUGCUUAACUUAUUACAUCUCCCUUGUUCUGGAGUUGCCCCCUCGCCCACAGGUGAGCCAUGGCAGCCAUUUUUGUGGUAGAUGGCUCCGCCCUGCUGGCCAAAGACAAUAGAACUAGGAAAAGAUAACUUUUCAAAUUGGGGUGAUCAGAGCUACAUUCUCCUGGUAAUUUGGAAUUGAAACUGAGUAACGAUAAUUCAGCUGGGCUGGUCACUUGAUGACAGGAGAAGUAAAUUAGGAAGGUUUGAUGGCAAAUUUGGGUACAAUGAAUCAGGUGCACAUAGAAAAGUAGAACAAAAAACAAAAAUACUGACCUUGGUACUUCCUGGCCUUCCAGGUCCCUGUUCCAGCCUUUUUGGAGGCCAGUUGCCUUUGGGUUUCAUGAGAUGCUGAUGUUGAUGAUAAUGAAAUGUCCUCUUUUUCUUAAAGUUUGACAUAGGUUUCUGUUAUUUGCAACUAAAAUGCUUGACUAAAGCGUCAUAGAUGUGCUGUGAGGAUCAAUUCGUGUAAUAUUCGAGAUACUUUGAAAAUAAUAUAGAACUAUGUAAAUAUUACCUAUGGUUAUUAUUAGAAAAUGUCCUAAUCUAAGUGGGUAAAUGUUCAAUAGGACACUGCAGUAGGUACUCGAGGGCUGAUCAGAUCCUUAGAAGCUCUUUAGUGUGUCAUGGAGAUAAGUGUUACUCUAUUACCUUAGGUCAUUGUUGUUGUUAAUCUAGUAAUAAAGUGAGGAAUGAAAUUAAAUUUAGCCUAGAGGUGGAGGAAAGUAGCUGUGGAAAAGUGGGGAAUGGCCUAAUUUAAUAUUUUUAAGACAAAUAAUUUGUGUCAUCUAAAUAUUUUUGAAAGUGAUUUACAGAAACCCAAAUCAUAAUAACCUAAGAAAAUUAGUAGAGAUCCUAAAUAUUCAUAUAUAAAAGUGAAUCAAUUCACAGAACUGAAAUUAGUGGUGCAGAAGUAGAAGCAUAACAGUAAUUGUUAACACAUUAUCUAUGGAUGCAAUAAAUAUUUUAUAUAAAAAUAACAAAUUUAUAAAUUAUUUGUAUGUGUUACAUAAUUUAAUUCUUACGACCAGCCUAUAUAUUAUCCUCUUGUUAUAAGUAAGGUAUUUUGGACCUAGAGUGAAUUAAUAACUUGUUCAAUGUCAGACAGGUAGUUAGUGACAGAACAGAUUUUUCGCUCAGUCAACAUGACUCCUAAGCUCUUAACCACCAUAUUACAUUGCUUCCAGCAUAGAUAUUAUUAGGUUAGACCACAUGAUAUGGUCAUUUUUGUAGGUCAAGAACACUCAAAUAUUAACAAUUUCAUGAUUCUAUCUCAUUGUGUUUUGACUAUUACCUUAUUUUAAAACAUAAUUGAAUUUAAUGUAUUUUAGCAACAUGUACUUUCUCACAAUGCAGAAAUUUAAAAUACAGCUACUGUCUUAUUGAUGGCAUUUUAGUCUGGGUUUCCUAAAAAUUAGAGCUAGCAACAAAGAUGAAGUGUGUCAGCUUUAUUGGAAGGUGGAAUCCCUCAACAACAAUAAUAGGGGAUAAGGAUGAAUGAAGCAGGAAGAAAGGAGAGCAAAUACUAGAUGGUAAAUUUCUGAGUUGGCUACAGCCUAAAACACACACACACCUAUGCACACACACACACACACACACACACACACACACUCACACGUAGCAGGUUCUUCAGGCAUAUGGGACAUCUUCUUGUACAUAUUAUGCCAGAACAGUCCAUCAGGAAAACGAAAGCAAAGGAGUUCAUCUGCUGGUUCCUUCCCAUUUCCUGGCCCUCGCUGAUCAAAAUCCACCCUUUCCAAGUUGAGUUAUCUGCAUUCUAUGGGCAAAUUUCACUCUCGUCAUCUGAGUCUGGAAGUCGUAGAGAAGCCAGAGCCACCCAUAAGUUUAGUUUGACUGGAUCACAUCUGUUCUGGGCUCUGACACAGCAGGUUUGCUGAAGGUAGUGCUAAAGCCCAGUUCUCACCCCAGAAGAUCCUGAGACAACCUGCAGCAUUUAUACAUGAGGUCAAGACAGCAACUGCUGGGAUACUCCACUGAGCAAGCAGUUGAAGCCCCGGGGUGGGGAGAACCCAGCAAAUCUGGUCAAGGUCAUAAACUAGACCUGGUACAAGAGAACCUCAAUUUUAUCUGGAGGUGUGAAGAAUUUCUGGUAAUUAAAAAAGCUGAAAAUCAGGAAAACAUGGGCUUUUUCUCCUGCUGAUAGGUUGAUAAUUAUUAUCCGCUU